GAUGAAGAACGCAGUGAAAUGCGAUAAGUAAUGUGAAUUGCAGAACUCAGUGAAUCAUCGAAUCUUUGAACGCACAUUGCGCUCCCUGGUAUUCCGGGGAGCAUGCCUGUUCGAGCGUCAUUACAACCCUCAAGCUCUGCUUGGUGUUGGGCCCCGCCGCCCCGGCGGGCCCUAAAGUCAGUGGCGGUGCCGUCCGGCUCCGAGCGUAGUAAUUUUUCUCGCUUUGGAGGCCCGGGCGCGUGCUUGCCAUCAACCCCCAAUUUUUUUCAGGUUGACCUCGGAUCAGGUAGGGAUACCCGCUGAACUUAAGCAUAUCAAUAAGCGGAGGA
rnacentral:misc_RNA from 1 species